GUACACGCUGUGACUAGCAUAUCAAUAAGCGGAGGAAAAGAAACUAACAAGGAUUCCCUUAGUAACGGCGAGUGAAGCGGGAAGAGCUCAAAUUUGAAAUCUUCAAGGUUCUACCUUGACGAAUUGUAGUUUAAAGAAGUGUUUUUCUGUGAAGUGAUUGGCUAAAAGUCCUUUGGAAUAGGACAUCAUAGAGGGUGAGAAUCCCGUAUUUGUACCAUUCUCUCUAGCUUUGUGAUACACUUUCAAAGAGUCGGAUUGUUUGGGAAUGCAGUCCAAAAUGGGUGGUAAAUUUCAUCUAAAGCUAAAUAUUGGCGAGAGACCGAUAGCGAACAAGUACCGUGAGGGAAAGAUGAAAAGAACUUUGAAAAGAGAGUUAAACAGUACGUGAAAUUGUCAAAAGGGAAGCGUUUGACACCAGUGUUGUUUUCUCGAAAAUCAAUUAAAAAUGGCUCGAUUUUGUAUUGUUGAGACCUUAAAAGCUCACUGUACAUUUUUCGUGUCUUUUUUAAUGCACUUUUCGUUUAACAAGUCAACAUCAGUUUCUUUUGUUGUAAAAGGGUCAUUGGAAGGUGGCUUUCUUUUCGGAGAAAGUGUUUAUAGCCUUUGGCCUCUGCAAUCGGAGAGACUGAGGUCUGCAGCGUAAACUCUUCGGGGUUAGAUACAUUUGUGCUAAGUUAUAGCUUUUUAUAGACAACUUGUUGACUAUAAUUAGUCUUGUAGCUUACUCGCUUAUGCUAUUUUACCUACGCUUAGGAUGUUGAUCUACAGAGCGAGAGU
rnacentral:rRNA from 1 species